GCCAGGGUGCCGCAGACGCGGGGACGCUGGCUCGCUCCCUCCCUCCCUCCGACGCUAUCAAAUGAUGCUGUUUGGAAAAAUUUCCCAGCAGUUGUGUGGCGUAAAGAAACUCCCAUGGUCAUGUGACUCCAGAUACUUCUGGGGCUGGUUGAAUGCAGUGUUUAAUAAGGUGGAUUAUGAUCGCAUCAGGGAUGUUGGCCCUGACAGGGCGGCAUCCGAGUGGUUGCUGCGCUGCGGGGCCAUGGUGCGCUACCAUGGCCAGGAGAGGUGGCAGAAGGACUACAACCACCUUCCAACAGGCCCUCUGGACAAAUACAAGAUUCAGGCGAUCGACGCCACCGACUCUUGUAUCAUGAGCAUUGGAUUUGAUCACAUGGAAACCUCAAAUAUUUGUUGUUAAGUGAUCUUCCUGGAGUAAGAGAAAAAGAAAAUCUUGUCCAAGCCUUUAAGACAGCACUGCCUUCUCUGGAACUAAAAUUACAAUUGAAGUAAAAUAA
rnacentral:sRNA from 1 species